UACGGAGGGGGCGAGCGUUAUUCGGAAUCAUUGGGCGUAAAGGGCGCGUAGGCGGCUUUGUAAGUCUUGGGUGAAAGCCCUCGGCUCAACCGAGGAAUUGCCUUGGAUACUGCGAAGCUCGAGGCUGGAAGAGGACAGUGGAGUUCCCGGUGUAGCGGUGAAAUGCGUAGAUAUCGGGAGGAACACCGGUGGCGAAGGCGGCAUCCUGGACCGGCAUUGACGCUGAGGCGCGAAAGCCAGGGGAGCAAACGGG
rnacentral:rRNA from 1 species